AGCGAACGCUGGCGGCAGGCUUAACACAUGCAAGUCGAGCGCCCCGCAAGGGGAGCGGCAGACGGGUGAGUAACGCGUGGGAAUCUACCCAUCUCUACGGAAUAACGCAUGGAAACGUGUGCUAAUACCGUAUACGUCCUUCGGGAGAAAGAUUUAUCGGAGAUGGAUGAGCCCGCGUUGGAUUAGCUAGUUGGUGGGGUAAAGGCCUACCAAGGCGACGAUCCAUAGCUGGUCUGAGAGGAUGAUCAGCCACACUGGGACUGAGACACGGCCCAGACUCCUACGGGAGGCAGCAGUGGGGAACAUUGGACAAUGGGCGCAAGCCUGAUCCAGCCAUGCCGCGUGAGUGAUGAAGGCCCUAGGGUUGUAAAGCUCUUUCACCGGUGAAGAUAAUGACGGUAACCGGAGAAGAAGCCCCGGCUAACUUCGUGCCAGCAGCCGCGGUAAGAC
rnacentral:rRNA from 1 species